UUAAUAAGCAGCUCAGCAGGCCCCUUCACCUGCUUUUAUGCCUGGACCAGAUGACUGAAUGUAGAACUUUAGGCACUUUUUUUUUGAGACGGAAUCUCGGUUUGUCGCUCAGGCUGGAGUGCAGUGGCACAAUCUCGGCUCACUGCAAGCUCUGCCUCCCGGGUUCACGCCAUUCUCUUGCCUCAGCCUCCCAAGUAGCUGGGACUACAGAUGCCCACCACCAUGCCCGGCUAAUUUUUAUAUUUUUUAGUAGAGACGGGGUUUCACCGUGUUAGCCAGGAUGGUCUCAAUCUCCUGACCUGGUGAUCCACCUGCCUCGGUCUCCCAAAGUGCUGGGAUUACAGAUGUGAGCCACCACAUCUGGCCCUUUAGGCACUUUCUACUUCUCAAGGUCAAGAAACAUCCUUUAAAAAGUUAAUUCCCUUUUCUGGAGCCUAAGCCAGAUCUUAUCUAGGCCUUGUGUUGCCAUCUGUUAGCAUUGAUUUCUGGAAUGGAGCAGCUUUCUCAAAGUUUGGUCUUGUUAGUCAUGAGGUCAUGUCAGUGUCUUAGGUCACUGCUGCUCACCUUCCUUACCCAGGGAGUAUACUGCAUAGGUUUCUGAACACCUGUUUUCAUUAUUCACUGUUCUUCUCACUGCCAAGAAUGGAGGGACCCUCAGUUGAAGAUCAAAUUGACUCUGAAGAAAAACUGGAGAGAGAUGUUUGUCUUGGAGUUUGGAUAGAGUAUUCACUUGAUAACAUGUUUUUGCCCUGCCUUGCUCUUUACAAGAACAUCUGGCCAGGCAUUAACAAUUAGUAAAUUUUUUUGCAUAUGAACAGUAUUUUUUUUCUGGUGAUGUAGAUGGGUACACAUGACACUAACAGCAUUGCUUAGUGUUAUCCCUCUUAACUGGUGGGAUGUAUUUGGGGUGGAGGCUAUAGCCAAUGAGAAGAGGUUCGCCUCUGUACCCGAGAAACUUUGUGUAGGAAUUUAGUUUAUUUUUUUACUUUUUCUUUUUUUUUUUUUUUUUUUUUACUAUUUUUACUAUUAGCACAAUGCUAUAAUUGAGCUAAUCUUUGUGGUUUGGUGCAGGACCACCAAGUUUGUGUGACCCAUUACCUACUUUUUCCAUGCUCAGCUAUUACCCUGUCCUGGGGCAUCUGAGGGCAGUAAGGAACAGGUGUCCAAAGGAGGAAUGUUGGUGCCUAUGAGUAUGUUUUCCAGUUGUAUUGAAUUUCUUACUUGGUGUAUUUUCGACUUGUCUUAGUUUCUUUCCUUGUGGUCUAUGCUAUUUUACUUGGGAUUUGUUGGAUAUUCUCCCUGUUAUUAAAUAGUUGUAAAAUGGAAGUUAGUUUUUCUAUGCAAAUGCUUUAAUGGAUGAAGCUGAUAGGUUUAGCAUUGAUUUUUGCCAGUGUCCUUCAACGAGCAUGAAGGUGAUAAAUGUGUUUCCAUGGCUUUAGACUCAUUUUUGAAGUCUUGGAUUGUGUGAACAUUCUUAGAAACAAUAAAAUGUUUUAAUUAAAAGCCCUCGACUACCAGUUGAAUUCAGUGUCUACUAGGAAAAUGGGUAGAUUUGUUACAUUGUCCCUUUGCUCUCUAUGACUUUGUUCCAGUUGUCAAGGAACUUAAAUGGGUAUUCAGGAAAAAGAAUUCUUGUUUCCCUUUCCUCACCUUGCCAGUUAAAUAACUCCUGGUGACACUUCAGGUGGUAGAAUUGAAACACAAACCUGACUUCUGACCACAUGGGUCAAAGGCAAAAGGCAAAUGGCUUCAAAGCCCUUAGUGUGCUUAUCCAGUUCAGGCAGUGAGGAGAUAACUUCUGCUUUCCUCCCUGAGGAGUUUGGAGUAUUUAAGGGGGGAUGGGGGGGUGUCACUUUGAAAAUAUGUUGCUUUUUCUCCUGAUUGUAUUGAGGCUGAUAUGGAAGGGUUAUUUCUUUCUGGCCAAUACUUUUUGGUAUUUCUAAAUAUUGCAAUCUUGAUUUUUACUAUUAAAUUUGUUAAUUGUCAGUUCUGGCUUUUUUGCAUAAAGAGUUGGUCCAUUAACUUGCCAAUUUGAAGCUUCUAACUAGAGAUAUUCCCUACUGAAAGUUUUGGAUUUGUUUUUAGUUUGUGGAGCAGUCUUAGCUGGGGACAGGUAAUUGACAACGACAGAGAUACUUUCUUUUCCUAGGAUUCUAAGUCUAUAAUCCACAUCCUCAAUGUAUUCACAGGACUUUAAAAUUCUCUCCAAACGAGGAAGGAAAUAUCCUGUUGCUUUCUAAUGUUUACUAAAAGUUGUGUUUAGAACAACAGAUUUUAAUAGGCAUCUUCCUUUGUUAUGUGUCAUUAGCCCUUUGCCCGUUUACCUUAGGGCUCUUUGAAGGAGAAAUGGAUGGGAGAAAACCUGUCACUUGGCGAAAGUGAAAGGAAUAAUUAACUGGCUCAGAGCUUAUGUGCAGAGUUCCCAGCCCCAAAGUUAAUCUAGAACCACUCGAUAACACCAAUAAAAAUAUUUAUUUCACAUCUGUUAUAUUUCUGGAAAAUGUUCUAAGCAUCUUACAUAUAUUUCUCAUUAAAUCCACAGGUGACCAUUGUGAGGUAGAUAUUUUGUUCUAAUUUCCAGAUGAGGAAGCUGAGACCCUAAAAGGUUAGGUGACAGGUUAUAUACAACUUGGAGUGUGGGAGGAGGAGAGAGGAACCUGAACAGGGCAAGUUGGGGAUCUGACUUUUGUUUGGGUAGAUGUAGGCACAUUGUAUUUUUGGCUUAGACGCUUUAUUCAUCAUGGCUGAAGGUAAUACCAUUUAUUCACUCACCGAAAAUUGUUUACAAUAAUCAAGAUGAAUUUCCUGUCUUUGGACAUCUGUCUUUUGACUGGACCCCAGUAUAUAGUCUGUGGAAGCUCACUUAAGGAGAGAGCUCCUUUUUGUUUGGUUAGAGAAAUUGUCUGUCCUAAAAGUAGAAAUAGCCCCUUCUAGGUAGGGAUGGAACAUUUGAUCAUAUUGGUUUCAUUAUAUUCCUCUAACAGUUGGAACCGAUUGUUUUUGAGUACUUGUUUCAAACUUCUGAAUAUUUUCCUUCUGGAAAAUAGCUCAGUGUUUAAAAUUUAGAUGAACUUAAAAGGUUAAUUUUUUUUUUUAAAGAAUGUUUGAGGAGCAAUCAACAAUUCUGAUUUUGUCUUAUGGAUAGAAAUAGAAUUAGCCAUUUUCCUCAAGAAAAGUAAUUCUUCUGAAUCUUAGCUCUUCAAUAAUGAGAACUGGCCUGUUUCCACUUGACCGCUAGUUCCUGUUAGUGGGAAACCCUUUCCCAGAGGUGCUGUGUGAAAGAUUGCUGGGGAAAGGGUUUCUAGAUCCCAGCAUAACAAGUUCAAAAGAGUCCAGCGAUAUUGUCAUUAGAAUAGUGGUCUUCAUUAAGUACUAGUUUUCGUAAUCCUGAAGCUUCAUUUUCACCAAUUUGAAAGGCAGUAGGCUAGGGAGGAGAAGACUAUGCAGGGAAGGAGGAAAACUCAGGAGUGCAUCACAGAGACCUUGAGUGAGUUAAGGCAGGGAAGAAGCAGAUUUGCUAUCCAGUGAAUGAAAAUAAAAAGAAUUCCAUUGUCCAAGGUCAGAGCAAGAACACAAAGGUUUUAGUUUCUUUAGUUAAUUCCUUAGGUUUGGACAUUACAGGAGACAUGGGGGUCACCCAUAGCAAUUUAGCUGAUAAAUGUAUCAGAAACUCUUUCAUCAUUUUCUGUCCCCUCCUAUCUUAGGCUGACCGGUUUCCUGAUGUGUUACCUGCUUCUGCUACUGAUCCAAACUGCAGAACUUCUCAUUCAUCCCCAAGGCCUCCAGGCAGUAUCCAAUGGGGAAUCAGCUCUAAAAGGAACCAGACCAACGUUUUCCAGCCCCUUCAUUCUGCUUCCCUCUGUGUGAGGAGAGGAUAGAAAUGUUCAGGACAUCAUCAUACAGGCUCCUCAUCUACAAAGUUCCAGUAGCAGUGACGCCUACACGGAAGACUUGGAACUGCAAACAGAGGCUGGGGUCACCUCAGUGACAUCUGACGCUGUCCAACCAGAAGUUCGAUUUUUGUUCUGGGGGUGAAGGAGGAAACAGACUGUACUAAAGGACUAAAAUAAUUUCUUGUCUAU
rnacentral:lncRNA from 1 species